GCUACGGCGGCGGCACCGGAGUGGGUGGGUUUGCGUGGGGCGUGAUAGAGUUCGUAAACGACUGGACAGUCUCCCCCCAGCGGCUGGCCAGGUGCCGCUCGGCCCCCAUUUCCGGGGCCUCCCACUCGACUGAGGGGCCGGAGGAAGUCUCUUAGGAAACGGCUGUAGCGAAAGAGAACCCUUGUAUUCCACUCCACAAGGGAGCCGAGGGUCGGGUUAAGACUUCCGCGGCCUCGGCUCCGGGCGCGGAGGCAGCAGCGCCGGCCUCGCCUCUGGAACCCCUUCCCCGGCGCGCGUUGGUACGUCCCGCCGGAACCUUUCCCUGGCGCAGGCCCCGCCCCCUCCCUCCCUCCCGAGGACAACUGGCGUACCACCCACCCAUGGUUCCGUGGUACCCCGAGGACACCGUCCCCGCCGCAGGACUGUCCGGGCGUUCCCCACCCACUGCGCCGUAUUGAGAGGGAGGCUCUGGAUCUCAUUCCCCUGCCCUCCAACGUUCUGUUGGCCCCAGACGCACAAUUACAGCAGGGACCCCACUCGGAAGAGUGGUACAGGAGUUAACAACUCUGCAUCUGGCUUAGACUUCAGAAUCUGCCUGUCAACUGCGAUCACGUCGGGAUACUGUGGAGCGGUUGAGUGCCCUGUGGAGUCCGUGUGCCUAAGUUUGUAAUCUGGUUCCGCACACAUCAGCUUUGUCAUGGGACACAGGUUCGAGCCCUGGUCCUGGAAGAUCCCACGUGCUGUGGAGCAACUAAGCCUGUGCACCACAACUACUGAGCCUGUGCUUUAGAACUGUGAGCCACAACUACUGAACCCACGUGCCACAACUACUGAAGCCCACGUGCCUAGAGCCUAUGUUCUGCAACAAGAGAAGCCACCGCAAUGAGAAGCCUGUGCACCACAACAAAGAGUAGCCCCCACUCGCCGCAACUAGAGACAGCCCACGCGCAGCAACGAAGACCCAGCACAGCCAAAAAUAAAUAAAAUAAAUAAAUUAAAAAGAAUAAAAAAUAAAAAGGGGCUUCCCUGGUGGCGCAGUGGUUGAGAGUCCGCCUGCCGAUGAAGGGGACACGGGUUCGUGCCCCGGUCCGGGAAGAUCCCACAUGCCACGGAGUGGCUGGGCCUGUGAGCCAUGGCCGCUGAGCCUGUGCGUCCGGAGCCUGUGCUCCGCAACAGGAGAGGCCACAACAGUGAGAGGCCUGUGUACCGCAAAAAAAAAAUAAAAUAAAAAAAUAAAAAGAAUCCGCCUGCCAAUGCAGGGGACACGGGUUCAAUCCUGGUCCAGGAAGAUCCCACAUGCCACAGAGCAACUAAGCCCAUGCGCCACAACUACUGAGCCUGCACUCUGGAGCCUGCGAGCUACAACUACUGAGCCCACGUGCCACACUACUGAAUCCCGCGUGCCGAGAAUCCAUGUUCCGCAACAAAAGAAGCCACCACAAUGAGAAGCCCGUGCACUGCAGUGAAGAGUAGCCCCUGCUUGAUGCAACUAGAGAAAACCUGUGCACAGCAACGAAGACCCAACACAACCAUAAAUAAAUAAAUAAAUAAAUAAAUAAUUUAAAAAAAUGUUAGAGUGAAGCUGUACAUUUUUUUUAAAAAAGAAAUGAUUUAGCCCUCCACUAUCAUAUUUUCCACACACCUCCUGCCUGUGAAUUGUUUCUUGACUCUCCUUUUUUAAAAAAAUAUUUAUUUGGUUGCGCCGGGUCCUGGCUGCAGCACGAGGGAUCUUUGUUGUGGCAUGCAGGAUCUUUAGUAGCAGCAUGUGGGAUCUUUUUUAGUUGCAGCACAUGGGAUCUUAGUUGCAGCAUGCAUGUGGGAACUAGUUCCCUGACCAAGGAUCAAACCCAGGCCCCCUGCAUUGGGAGCAUGGAGUCUUAGCCACUGGACCACCUGGGAAGUCCAGGUUCUUGACUCUUUAGUAGGAAUUUUAGUGCUAGAUUAUUUACUUUAACUGGUACUGGAGGUACCCUGCCCAAGAUUUUCUUCAAUUUCCUCUUCACGGUACUCCAAGCUAUCCUUUGAGUUCUAAUUAUACCUUGUUCUAAUUUGUCAGAAGAGUGUAUCUGUUUGCUUUACAUUCAGCUUCUACCAAGCUCUUUAUACCUUGUGAUUUAUGAGGAAAUUGUUUUGUCACCUGCCACAAUUAUUUAGCAUUGAAUUUGUAAUUCCAGAAAGUGCCAAUAAAGCAGGAAGGAGAAGUACUUUUUUCUCCAUAGAGCUGUGGAAGCACAGGUAAAGUAUUGAGAACCAGUAUAUGAAUAAGAAGACAAAUAAUGUCUGACAUUUUAGUUUUAGUUUGGCAUUUUUUUGAGAGGGAGAAGGAGAAAACUUAAAAAUUCAACUUUAUAAAAGAAGCUAAAUAAUGGAAACUUAAAAAACAAACCAAAAUCCAAGAUAAUGUUGGCAGAGAGAGAAGAGUUAGAGGAAAAAGAGAACCAACUAAAUGCUGUAGAGUCAGCUGGGCAACUCUUGAAUUAGGAUUGAUUUAUAGUAUGCCUUACACUGGGGACUGGAAGAUGAGGUCCCAGCACAGAAUAAGCAGGGGCCAGGUGCAGCCAUGCCACGCCACACCAUCAUCAUUGUCAUUUAGGCCAUGGAGACAAGUCAGGUCAGGCAAGUCAGGUCACGUCACAUAUACAUAUUUAUGUUAUGGGUGAUGACCCCAGAGCUUUGGUAAAGUAUCCAGCACAGAGUAGGUGCUAAAUAAAUAUUGAGUGAUGAAUGAGUAUCAGAAUAAGAUUAAGUAAGUUUUCAAGUCAAGUAGUUUUAAGAUGAGCAGUGUUUCAAGGGAUAUUCCAGGGAAACAUUAGCUGUAUAAGGGGCUUUACAGACUAAAGUCUUUGCCCCCAGCUAUCUCAGAUACUUUGAUGGAGACAUCUUAGUGGCGAAACUUGUUCUAUCUUAAAGUGUCCAAUUUAAGACUGGAUUGGGCCUGCUGAGGAUGAGCCUUGUAAUCCAUUUAGAAACUGAGACUGUCUUAGGAUGGGAAUCAAGAGGACUUGAGAUUAUGCUUGAAAGAGAUUCUUUUCUUGGACCCGAGGUUCCGCUGGAAAAUUGUGCUGUCCUCACUUAGGGACUUUGCUAAUUUAGCCUUUGGGUAGAACAUGUCACCUUUUAUGGCAUCAGAAUUCUGAAAUCAUGUAACUAACUUAUAUCCAUAGACUGAGUCAUGACACAUGGUUGUGGGUUGCUAUCCGAAGGGGGAAUAAAAUGAGAAAGGGAGAUGGAGGAAAAGAGAAGGCUUCAUUCACUUAGUUAAUACAACAAACGUUUAUUGAGAUAUUUUAGUGUAUAUUGGGUUGACAUUAGGUUUGCAAAAAUAAGACACUGGAGAACAACUUCAAAGGAUACCAAGUUUUGGGGGAGGCUGACAUGUGAACAAAUGCUUAUAUUUUAGGGUAAAUAAGAGCAAUAAUAUAAGUAUGUACAAGAUCUAUGAUGUCACAGUGUGUGGGGGGAGUAACUUACUGUUCAGAGUAGGGAAGAGGACCUGGUCAGGGAGGUUAUCUGGGUCUUGUCACAAGAGGCAUUAGCCAGGUGGAUGGAUUGGUAUAGAACUGGGAAAGAAGAGGCAUUCCAAACAAAAUAAACUGCAGAUGCAAGGUAUAGAAGUGUGGAAUGUAGGUUGGAGGAACCCGAAAAAAGUUUAGAAUGGUUGAAGGAUGAAAUAAGGUUAUAUCUGAGUGGGAUGCAAUGGUAAGAUGUUAAAUUGGAGAGGUAGGUAGAGGGCAGAUUAAUGAAGGCCUAUGUAUCAUGCCUACUAAGGAUGGGGAGCAUUCAGAAUAGUGGUUUGGAGCAAGAAUUGGAGGGAAGAGACUUCGGUAUGGAGCAAUUAAGUGGCCCAGAUGAGAGAUGAUGCUGGUCUUAACUGAGAGCAAAAACGGGGAUAGAAAGGAUAGGAGGAGUUUUAGAAAUAUUUAGGAUAUAUAGUCAGAAUUUGCUUAUCUGCUGGAUGUGGGAUGAAAGUGCAAAGAUGAUUCUUAGGUUUCUGUUUAACCUCACUGCCAUCAAAUCCAUCAUCCCACUCAGUGUUGGUAUCAUGAACUGAAAUUGAGAGAAUUCUGGAAAAGAGCAGAUUUUUGACAGGAUGGUGAUGGAGAGGAAGGAACCGCAGAGCGUGGUUUUAGACAGGAUUCAGGGGAUCCGGGAAGACAUUAGUAAAGUGUUAUCCAGGAAGAAUACUUUCUUUUUUACUUCCUGUCCUCAGCAAAAUUGUAAGCUUCUUAAGAGCAAGGAUCGUGUUUUUCUUAUCAUCUACUUUUCAGCAUAGUGUUGAACUCCCUUAAUAAGAGUAAGGUGUCUAUCAAAUAUUUGUUUCAUGAAGUAGAGAUGGUGAGAGAAAAUGCUUACACAUUUGAAGAUACCCUAAUUGACCAUCUUCUCUAUAUCCAUCUGACAGUGAUCAGAGUAGGCAAUUUUUGACCUAAGUUCACUUAUAUUUGUUGUUUUUGGCUAAUUUCUAGUUUUAUAUAUGUUUUAAAUCUUGAAGGAUACACAAAGUCCUUUAUACAGACAUCACCUUCAGGGAGAGGAGCUAGGUAGCUGAGGGUCAAAAGUGGAAGAGGAAUUUACUUUUAACUAGAUAUCUGUUUUAGUCCAUUUGGGCUGUUAUAACAAAAUGCCACAGACUGGGUAGCUUAUACACAGUAGAAAUUUAUUUCUCACAGUACUGGAGGCUGAGAAGUCCAAGAUCAAGGAACCCUCAGAUUCAGUGUCUGAUGACGACCUGAUUCCUAGUUCAUAGGUGACCAUUUUUUCACUGUGCCCUCACAUGGGCAGAAAGGGGAAUCAAGCUUUCUGGAGUCUCUAUUAUAAGGCACUAAACUCAUUUCAUGAGGGCUCUGCCAUCAUGACCUAAUCAUUUCCCAAAGGCCCCACCUCCAGAUACCAUCACAUUGAGAACUGUUUCAACAUUGCAACUAGGAGGAUACAAACAUUCUGUCUACAGCAGUGUGAUUUGUAUAUCCCACCCUGAUACGUGGAAUCAACAAUUUCUCCAAGGAGUACAAAUUUCUUUUAGUGGGAAUGGUAUUUAGAAACCAAAAUUUAGGUGCUUGUGGUGCUUAUUACUACUGGAGUGUUCUUGCUUCUAGGCCUUUUAAUUAGAAGAAAGAAGUAUAUUCUUUAAAAAGUUAUGAAGGUGAUUAGAGACUAGGUUUUUUGAGCCAACCCUCCUGCUGAAAAUAACUAGAAGAGCUAGAUUAAAAGUAUAACCAUUUGAAAUUACUGAAAACUACCAAGGUAGUGAAGAAUUGCAAAAUCAAGAUCUGAGAGAAGUGGGAAGCUCAAUUACAUGAGCCCAGUCAUUUGGGACCAGUGUUUCCCCCUAAAGAGAUCCUCUAAUUCCUCAUGCAGUAUUGAGAAACUGAGAAUUUGAGGAGAGAUUUUGACAUCCUGUGGUUAGGGGGUUCAAAAAUUGGAGUUCAGGGCACACAAAGGAUGAGGGACUCAUUUAAGUCCCCAAGGAUUUUGGUUAGAACUCUGAAAGGAUACACCUUAGUGGUAACUGUGAACUGGAAAUAAACCGGCCUUUACAAAGACUGAUGUCCAGUGUCAAAUCGUCCCUAUCCCUGAUUGGAUUUAUUAAGCUUAAUUAAUAACCAGUUGUCAGUGUUCUUAGGCUAGAUGUUUGCCUGAAGCAAAUUAGGUCUUCUCUGGGAGAAGAUAACAUCAUGCAGAGACACGUUCAUCCUGUGGGUUUUCACAUACAAAGUUCAGAAUUCAAAAAAAAAAGACAUUGAUUCCUAGGAAAUCUUUAUGUAUCCUGGAUACAGGUCUUUAUAUAUUCUGGAUACCAAGGCUUUAUAAAUGCUUUUGUUCCCAUUUAUGUGGUUACAAAUAGCUUCUCCAAUUUUCUGAACUUUUUCCUUCCUUUAAAUGGUAUCUUAUGAUGAGUAAAAAUUCUUAAUUUCAGUAUAGAUAAGAAUAUCACUCUGUUCCUUUAUGCUUAUUGAUUUUUGUGUCUUUUAAAAGAAAUCCUUUCCUAAAAAAAAAAAAGAAGAAAUCCUUUCCUAAUCUGAAAUCAUAAAGGUAUUCUCCUAUACUGUCUUCUUAAAGUAACAUAGUUUUGCAUUCUGUAUUUAAGUCUUCAAUCCAUUUAAUUAAUUUCAAUGAAGGAUGAGAACAGGAAUUCAAUCAUCUUGUUUUCCAUUUGGCUUACCAUUUGUUUCCACACUGUUUAUAGAAAACACACUUUUAUUUGUUUUAGUUUCCUGUGCCUAGUUGGCUUGACAUGUAGUAGACUCUAUGAAUGAAUUUGAAUAAAGUAUAUAUCUUGAUAGUGUGAAAUUCUCUGUAGAGUUCUUAUGGUUUUCACAGCAUACUGUCUGAUUUACAAUUUGAUUUUUCUUUAUACUGUACUCCUUGCUUAUGUUCUGCUUAACUUAUCAAUUAUAAAUGCUUUUUGUUUAUUACUAAAACUCUAUUGGAACUAAAUAAAGGUUUGUUAAUUUUC